rnacentral:rRNA from 1 species
AAAUUGAAGAGUUUGAUCAUGGCUCAGAUUGAACGCUGGCGGCAGGCCUAACACAUGCAAGUCGAGCGGCAGCGGGAAAGUAGCUUGCUACUUUUGCCGGCGAGCGGCGGACGGGUGAGUAAUGCCUGGGGAUCUGCCCAGUCGAGGGGGAUAACAGUUGGAAACGACUGCUAAUACCGCAUACGCCCUACGGGGGAAAGGAGGGGACCUUCGGGCCUUUCGCGAUUGGAUGAACCCAGGUGGGAUUAGCUAGUUGGUGGGGUAAUG